GAUGAACGCUGGCGGCGUGCUUAACACAUGCAAGUCGAACGGAAAGGCCCAAGCUUGCUUGGGUCCUCGAGUGGCGAACGGGUGAGUAACACGUGGGUGAUCUGCCCUGCACUUCGGGAUAAGCCUGGGAAACUGGGUCUAAUACUGGAUAGGACCACUUCUUGGAUGUUGUGGUGGAAAGUUUUUUCGGUGUGGGAUGAGCUCGCGGCCUAUCAGCUUGUUGGUGGGGUAAUGGCCUACCAAGGCGUCGACGGGUAGCCGGCCUGAGAGGGUGUACGGCCACAUUGGGACUGAGAUACGGCCCAGACUCCUACGGGAGGCAGCAGUGGGGAAUAUUGCACAAUGGGCGCAAGCCUGAUGCAGCGACGCCGCGUGGGGGAUGACGGCCUUCGGGUUGUAAACUCCUUUCCCUAGGGACGAAGCGUUUUGUGACGGUACCUGGAGAAGAAGCACCGGCUAACUACGUG
rnacentral:rRNA from 1 species